rnacentral:lncRNA from 1 species
AUGACUAUUGUUUUUCAUAUUUCCAGCUAUGCUUCAAUCACAAAAGAAGCCAUUGUUCAAUUAAAUUUUUUUUUAAAUAUUAUCAUUUUUAGAUCAAGAUACAGUCUGAUUGCAAGUACAGUGGCACACUUUCAGAGAGGAAGUUUCUACAAUGUGAUGAGCAGCCUGGCCUGCAGGAGACCCUUGUGUAGCUGCUACCUGAAUACCAGAGACGAAGAAGAUUUCAGCUGAGAUUUGUAAACGAGGAACAAGACAAUGUAGAGCCGUUAUUUAACACUGCAAACAUUGCAUUUGACAGUGCGACAGUCGCUGAUUCCAUUGUCACUGUGUCCGCCAGGCAGAUGCAAUGAGCUUUGCGUAAAAACUCAAACCACAUAACCACCAUUUCCGGCAGUAAGACACACGACUAGAGCUUUCUCGUGGGAACUUGUUUGACACUUUACCUCUUGACUUUUUCAUAUUCACACACUUCUGUGAGUCUUUAUAGAUGUGUGUGCAUGCUCUACAUAAUGAAACCUCAAAACAUAAGGAUAUUUAUGGAAAACAGCAAUCAUUUUAUCAAAAUCAUUAUCAGUUCAGCAUAUAAUUUAAUGUGUGCUGGAUUAAAAGGUUGUAAAAUUACAAAGGGAAUGCGGGUGGCGAAAUGUGAGCGCAAUUAAAUGAAGGAAAAUUGUAUAUGAAAGUGGAAUAUCCAUUUCAAGACAAUUUAGCUCAGUUGGGGAUUUUUUUUUCGUUGGUGUCGACAAUUCAAUUUCUUUUGUGACAUUUGCCUUCCAUCUAGUGGCAAACACAGCAAAAUGCCAGUUGUUCGAAAUUGCUGAUGUUAAAUGUUGUGAAACAUUUUUCACGGCAGUUAAAUUCACUUUUUCUACAGUUGUAUUAUGAGCUUUCAAGAGGGCCGUUGAUGUUGAAAAUGAAAAGACAUCAAAUUUAGGGCCUACAUCAAAAUUGACGUAAAAAACUGGUCAAAUCUGCAAAUCAAACUGGAGUCAAAAACUUGACAUGACGUUAAUUUGAUAUAAAUUGAACGUCAAACAGACAUGACGUUAAUUUAGAUAUAAAUUGAACGUACAAACAUACUGUCCCAUAUUAUAUACAUUAACCAAUUCAGUGUGGGAUUAAUUCCUACUUUCACCCAAUCACAACUGGAAGAAAUUGUCUUCCAAACUGAAUUUAAAAUGUUAUUUAUUUAUUUAUUUAUUUAUUUUUUAUUCAGUGCCACAAGAACAAGAGGUAUUACAGUCACAUUAAUAACAACGUUAGAUGCCAGUCCAUAAAAGUUACAUACUGUUUUUCUGUUUUUUUCUAUUUCUGUUUUUCUUUAAAAACAUUGUUUUCCGUUUGAUACCAAAGUUUUAUGUAGCUAUAGUCAUUUAUAAAAUCUAAGUUGUUGUUGUUGUUGUUGUUUUAGAUAAAUGUAGAAUUUCAAAAUAAAUAAAACAAAUAAUUGCCAAAUGUGUUCUUUACAUUCCAAAAUGUCAUACUGAAAAUAGAAAUGCACAGCAUACACACCCCAGUUUCUGUUACAAUAGGUUUCUAAAUCUUUCCAAGGUAAUUUUGAGUAAAUACAAUGCUAAAACAAAUGAAGAAUUGUUUCUUUUUCCAGUCCACAAAAUCAAAGACAUUAGAGGACAGAAUUAACCACUAUACUUUAUGAAAUGUUCUGCUUAAAUCAUUGAAAUGUUCGGCUUAUGACAUGCUUAACUGCAUAAAUAUGUUGAAGGAUUUCUUUAACAACAUACGCUUUGAAAAUUCGUCAAGAGCAAUAGCAAAGUAUCUUGGUAAGUUGGUUAUAUGGUGACAGGCAUGAGUAGCACUCCUCUGCAUGUCAUCCUUACAGUAUAACGGGUGAUUGGUUCAGAUGGCAUCCUAACAAGUACUCAUUUUGUCCAAGAGAUGUCGCUAUUAGAGAACUUUACAACCACAAGCCAAUGCAAACAGUCCAUUGGCUGACAGAAUCCGCCCAGGACAACCCCCUGUGUUUCAGUGCACACAAAACUCAUGCCUUCUAAGACAGCUCUUUUAGAACAGCAUAAUUGAUUUAUAUUAAACUGCGAAUAUUUAGUGAUAGCCUUUUCACAAAAAGUUUAUCACUAUAUUUAUUUGAUCACAAAAUGUUUAUCACUAUAUAUAUUACUCUGAAAAAUAUUUAGUCACAUAUUAUUACAUUCCAGCAUAUUUAUAGAGGAGCAAAAAGAAAUUUGUGGCACACAGGAGACUCCAAAUGCUGAUAAUUGGGGGUGGGUUUAUAAUGGAAGCCAUACUUAGAACAACACAUGGAAAAGUUCAUUUACAACCUCUCCCCACCCCCAACGCUCCCUCCUACCCAUUUAUCCAAUCAGGCAGUGGGUGUUGUUUGUGUGUGAGCCAAUGAUGGCCGAGCACUUGCCCUCUGAAACACAACCAUGAUAAAUAAGUGUAUGUCAGUCUCAUGUGAAGAGGAACCAUGUGAGGGGGGUGAGAUGGAACAGACCAGACCAGCAUAACAUAAAUAAUUUUCUUGAUCUCUGGCCUUAGUUAAUUCUUCUUCUAUCAUCACCAUGCCGAUUAAAUCAUAUAUUACUCUCAGUAGUUUAAUACAUUUGCCUUUACAGUGUAUUAAAACGUCAAGUAUUACGUUUAUACAUUCUCCAUGUAUUAAUUUUGUUAAAAAUAAGCAUCACUGUUGUCCACAUCAGCAUCACAUUCCCAACUAACCUUUUUGAAAUUCAUAACAGUUUAACAUGUAGAUCCUACCUUAUCUUUACAACUCUUCACCAUUCUCUAUAGAUAUUAGCUGUGAAUGAGAGUAACAUCUCUUUCUCUCUCUGAACGACAAUGUUAUCUUCUCUUAUCCUGUUUGACUACUGAUGAGAGACUUCAACUUGACAAUAGAUUUACUUAUCAUUGUGACAAUCGUUGUAGCAUAAAAUCUGGUACACUGACCCUUCGAUCAAUCUAUUGGUAUAGGCUGUAAGUACAGUGAACCUUACAAAUUAGUAUGAUAAGAUAAGAUCAUUGAAAUGCAGGGGUGACCGCGCAUUCUCAGUAGCUGCCCCUAGAUUGUGGAAUGCUCUGCCUCUCUGUAUUAGUUCGUUACCUUCACUAUCUGUUUUUAAGUCCAUGUUGAAAACUUACCUUUUUGACUUGCCGUUUUAUAAAUUAGAAUUUUCUACUCUACUGUUUAUUUUAUAGUAAUUAUUGCUUUUAUUGUGCAGCACAUUGGUUGUGUGCUGCACCCAUGGUUGUGUUUAAUAGUGCUAUAUAAAUAAAAUUGACAUUGACACUGAAACAUUAUAAACUAUCAAGAUUUCCAUAUAAUUGUCUGCAGAGCCACUUUAAAGUAGAGUAGUUUAAUUAUACUGUGCGAAAAUAUAUAUAUAUUAAAAUAUAUAUAUAUAUAUAAAUAUAUAUAAAGUGACAUGACAUACAGCCAAGUAUGGUGACCCAUACUCAGAAUUCGUGCUCUGCAUUUAACCCAUCCAAAGUGCACACAGAGUGAACACACACACACACCAUGAACAGUGGACAGGCAUUUAUGCUGCGGCGCCCGGGGAGCAGUUGGGGGUUCAGUGCCUUGCUCAAGGGCACCUCAGUCAUGGUAUUGCCAGCCCGAGACUCGAACCCACAACCUUAGGGUUAGGAGUCAAACUCUCUAACCACUAGACCACGACUUCCCCACCAGCCAGCAUAGAACAAAGCAGAUGAAUACACAACCAUUAGCUGAGCUAUUGAGAAAAAGUUGCAUAACAACUGCUUUGGGGAGACAAAACAAUGUACAGCUAUUAAUUUUUUUGUCAAGUUUCUGGUAUUGAUUUGUCACACAUGGCUACACACAAAC